UCUUCUGCAUACCUCUUGAUAAAGAUAGUAGAAAAUUAUUUGCCUUCGAAUGGGAAAACAUAUUGAAGUUUUUGGACCACAUAUGGUAACAACCCUUUUAGAACAAAAGGGGGGGGGCACUGGUUAUCACCCAGCCGGAUGAUGAAAUAUCAGGCAAUACUAACUGAACAAGAUGACGUAACCUUGAAAACGACUAACCUGUUAAAUCCAGCAGUAUUUCUAGGAACUGUUCCAGAAGAAGGACCGUUGGAACACAAUUGUGUGGAAAUAAUCGAACAUACGCCAGCCGCAAAGAUUUGAAGGAUGUACCCCUUGAAAGUUUUUCCAGGAGCUGGAUCACCCCGAAGGGCUGAAUGGUAACACAAGCUCUGAAAGCGGGCCCAACCCCAUGAUUGAAGGCGUCUCCCACACUCUCAAGAUUGGACGGCGCAAAAGGAUAAGAAAUGCUAUACUUCCUGGUAUUGUUUUUACAAGGGCAAUUGGGCCAUGGGCAGGAAUGGAGGAAUAACUUUUUUACUUUGGGGGAGGAAGUGGCCAAGGUCUUUAACCUUAGUAACUGCUGGAUUUGUGGAGGACCGGGGGGGAACUGAAAGUUGGCCCUGGGUAGCAGGCCCGGUCGAACCCAAGUGGUGGGUCAGUAAUUUGAGCGAAGUUCAUAAUGGGAUGCAAUUUUGGAAAGAGGAAGGAGGCCCAUGGCAGUUGCACUCGUCAGCUCGGGGUGUAUACUGCUUGAACAGAACAGGAACAGUGGCGGUGGGAAAAAGCAUUUACAAUUGGACUCUGUCCCCCAGAUAUGAUUGUACCAAUCCUGGAUGUAGUCCUAUAAACUGUACAGGCACGUAGUGGGAAAUGGAACGCCACACAUGUUCAGCUGAGAAAUGGGACUUGGCUGAAAUGCUCAUAUAGGGAAUUUUUUGGAUCCGGAUGUGAAACUGUGGCAAGAGCACAAGCAGGGGGAUAAUUCGAUGGUCAAAUCUUGAGCUGUCAGCGUGAUAACACCACUAAGGAACAGCAUGUGGUGCGGGUCUAUCGUUGGAAAUGGCAGGAUGAGAAUGGGAGGCGAGUGUUCUUUAAACAUUUCUGGUCAGCUUAUAAUAUGACAGGCCGCCAAGGAGAACUGAAUUGUGACUGUAAGUGGAAACCCGAUGCGGGAGCUUGGAAGUGCGCAUAUACGCGUACAAAUGGGGCAGACAUUGUAACAGGACCACUCGGUAACAAGGACACUCUGUAUUAUCACGCCCCAAAGGGUAAAGAGGGAUGGGAUGGUCCUUUUCCAAACGGGACGUGGGCCCUAAAGGGACAUUAUUGGGUGUGUGGCAAACAUGCUUACAAGAGGCUACCCGGAAACUGGUUGGGAAUAUGCUAUGUGGGGUACAUAAGACCCUUGUUCUUUUUAUUGUCACAAACACAAGGAAAUCAUUUAGGAAUAAGAUUAUAUGAUGACCUGAACAGAAUGAAACGAUCUAUUGAUACUUCCUUAGCCAGGGGUAGUGCCCAAAAAUGGGGAAAGGAUGAAUGGCCUCCUGAAAGAAUCAUACAGCAUUAUGGGCCAGCUACCUGGAACCCAAAUGAGUUGGUAUCAGGAGCCCGAGAACCUAUUUAUAAUUUGAAACGAAUAAUUAGGGUGCAAGCUAUCCUCAAAGUUGUAACCAAUUAAACAGCGACGGCCUUGGAUCUUCUGGCUGAUCAAUCCACUCAGAUGAGGAAUGCUAUCUUUCAACAUAGAAUGGUCUUAGACUAUUUACUAGCAGAAGAAGGGGGAGUGUGUGGAAAACUGAACGAUUCUAAUUGUUGUUUACAGAUUGAUGAUAAUGGAAAAGUGGUUAAACAGAUAACAAAGGAAAUUAGGAAGUUAGCCCACGUCCCAGUACAAACUUGGAAGGGUAUGGAUUGGGAUUUCUUUUCAUGGUUGCCCGGUGGACCAUGGGUUAAAAGGAUGCUAUUUUUAUUUCUAUGUGGUGUAAUGACAUUAUUGUUUAUACCUUGUAUGAUACCUUGCUUUACAUUGUUGGUACGGCGAGUAAUAAAUAGCACCCAAUUUGUGAUGACUUUGGUAGAGAAAAAAGGUGAUGUGUCAAUAAUGAUGCUUAAGAAAUGGACUCCCUGAGAACUGACUGAUGAAAUCCAGUUGUUACUAACAAAGGUUGAAGAAGAGACACGAAUUGA